CGCUCCUCCGCGGGCGGUGCCGGUGCUCUCCACGCCGAAAUCACCUCUUCCGGCGGGACAAGCCCCGAGGCGAGGGACGGCCAAGGAAAUGCCCUCUUGCUCUUGACUCAUCUCGAGGGUCUUCUAAAGCUUUGGUCGAGCACCAACUGAUAAAACGUCGCCCUCAUCACGGGGAAUCAUUAAAGGUCAUUCAGGGGCAAUGAGAUCUUCCAAACUGACAAGGAGGGAGACGGAGGUACUAAAACAGUUUGACCAUUGUGCUCUAAGUGGAUUGGGUUCCUGUCAGAAUUGAACGUUUGGACAUUGAUAAAUUUCCUCCUGUGUGGGAUCAAUAACUCUCACCGCUCAGCCCUGGGCUCCCUCAGAGUGGGACGUCAUAAUUACUCUGUCAGACUGAAUGCCCGUCUGUAAAGACUGGCAACUGUGUGCGUGUGUGUGUGAAAGAGAGUGCAUGUUUGCGAGUCACAGCAUAUAUGAAAAGGACACAGCAUAUGAUUUUACAGUGUAAAUGAAUGCGGGUGUCAGUGGGUGUAUGCUUGGAGGAUUGUGGAUAAAGCCAAUUUGUGUGCAUAUAUUCGCUAUAUCUGUGUUUUACCGUGCCUAGCAUUACAACCGUGACCAAAGCAUCAAUGCCAUUCUAAAAGAAUACGGAGAUACUGUAUGUCGCAGGACGUAUGCAUGGAAAUUUGCGGAUUAACUAUGCACGUCUGUGUGGCUUUGCAUGUGUGUGCGUACGUAUUUGUGGAGGCCCAGGUGAUCGUUUGUCAAGCGCCGUGGACUCAUGAUUGGCAGUGAAUGACAGCCAGGCAUCCCGCCGCCUCCUUUCUCCUCCCACGGCACUUUCUGAUGCCUGUCAUUUCCACCAAUCGGGCAGCGGAUCUGACAGCUGUGUUGACACGCCAACACACAUACAAACACACGCACAUGCAUGACC